rnacentral:rRNA from 1 species
GACAGAGGGUGCAAACGUUGUUCGGAAUUACUGGGCGUAAAGCGCGUGUAGGCGGUUAUGCAAGUCGGGUGUGAAAGCCCAGGGCUCAACCCUGGAAGUGCAUUCGAUACUGCGUAGCUAGAGUACUGGAGAGGAUGGUGGAACUCUGGGUGUAGAGGUGGAAAUUCGUAGAUAUCCAGAAGAACACCGGUGGCGAAGGCG